UACAGAGACCUCAAGCGUUAUCCGGAAUCAUUGGGCGUAAAGCGUACCGAUCGGUGGUUUUGCAAGUCAGAGGUGAAAUCCCAAGGCUCAACUUUGGGACUGUCCUUUGAAACUGCAAGACUUGAGGGGCAAAGAGGAAGCUGGAACGAACGGUGUAGUAGUGAAAUGCGUUGAUAUCGUUCGGAACACCAAUAGCGAAGGCAGGCUUCUGGGUGCCACCUGACACUGCUAGGACGAAAGCGUGGGGAGCGAAUGGG
rnacentral:rRNA from 1 species